rnacentral:pre_miRNA from 1 species
AGCCUUCUGUAUCCGUGUUGAGAUUUCGUCACACACCAGACCACAAGGGCUGAUGAGACUGCCAUAGAACCUUACGAU